AUCAUUUUAUAUUUGUCAUGGUCAGCUGGCAAAUAUUUUUGUAAAGCUUCAUGUUAAAACCGUAAAAAUGGUGGCUAUGGAUUUGCCUCUGAAAGAUGAUGCAUUUGCACGCUCAGAAAUCUCACCCUGACUUGUUCAAAGGCAGACUGAGCUAAUCUUUUUUUCACUAUCCCCUGCAACAACGGCAUUUGGACAAACAUGGUGCUAUUUUCCAUGAGCCUCUUCCCUAGAAUACGUUCAGAUGAGAUGGAUUGCUAAAAUCCAACGAGAUAAAUAAUUGUUGUAAUACCAGCAGUGCAACCACAAUCCCACUCACAAACUGAGCUCCUUGGUCCAGAUCAUCUCUAUGUAAAGAAGCAAGAGAAAUACAGAAGGAAACUUGUGUCUCAAGAAGAAAUUGAAUUUAUCCAACGUGGAGGUCCGGAAUAAUCACUGACAGUGUGGCUGCUGUUUGUCAUCAGACAAAAGAAUAGUCUUUAUAAUAAAGAACUUCCAAAAUGGCACAUGAGAAAUUAUACAGUAAACAACUUGAAUAAAUACUCUGUUAAAAAAAAAA